rnacentral:rRNA from 1 species
GUGGGGAAUCUUGCGCAAUGGGCGAAAGCCUGACGCAGCCAUGCCGCGUGAAUGAUGAAGGUCUUAGGAUUGUAAAAUUCUUUCACCGGGGACGAUAAUGACGGUACCCGGAGAAGAAGCCCCGGCUAACUUCGUGCCAGCAGCCGCGGUAAUACGAAGGGGGCUAGCGUUGCUCAGAAUUACUGGGCGUAAAGGGCGCGUAGGCGGACAGUUUAGUCAGAGGUGAAAGCCCAGGGCUCAACCUUGGAAUUGCCUUUGAUACUGGCUGUCUUGAGUACGGGAGAGGUGAGUGGAACUCCGAGUGUAGAGGUGAAAUUCGUAGAUAUUCGGAAGAACACCAGUGGCGAAGGCGACUCACUGGCCCGUUACUGACGCUGAGGCGCGAAAGCGUGGGGAGCAAACAGGAUUAGAUACCCCAGUAGUCC